UAGGGAAUCUUAGGCAAUGGGGGGAACCCUGACCGAGCAACGCCGCGUGAGUGAAGAAGGUUUUCGGAUCGUAAAGCUCUGUUGUUAAGGAAGAACGAGUGUGAGAAUGGAAAGUUCAUGCUGUGACGGUACUUAACCAGAAAGGGACGGCUAACUACGUGCCAGCAGCCGCGGUAAUACGUAGGUCCCGAGCGUUGUCCGGAUUUAUUGGGCGUAAAGCGAGCGCAGGCGGUUAGAUAAGUCUGAAGUUAAAGGCAGUGGCUCAACCAUUGUAGGCUUUGGAAACUGUUUAACUUGAGUGCAGAAGGGGAGCGGGGAAUUCCAUGUGUAGCGGUGAAAUGCGUAGAUAUAUGGAGGAACACCGGUGGCGAAAGCGGCUCUCUGGUCUGUAACUGACGCUGAGGCUCGAAAGCGUGGGGAGCGAACAGG
rnacentral:rRNA from 1 species